rnacentral:lncRNA from 1 species
GUGACCAUGACCAAUGAUGACGAUGAUGAACGAUGAUGACGAUAAAGAUGACCGAGGGUGACGAUGACCAACAAUGGUGACCAUGACGAAUGAUGACGAUGACCAGUGAUGGUGAGGAUGAUGAUGAUGAAUCAUGGUGACCAUGACCAACAAUGACAAUGACCAAUGAUGGUGAGGAUGAUGAUGACCAUGACCAACAAUGACAAUGACCAACGAUGGUGAGGAUGAUGAUGACAUCAAUGACAAUACCAGUGAUGGUGAUGACAUCACCAAUGGCAAAACCAAUGACAUCACCAAUGAUGACAACACUGAUGAUGACCCCAAUGACAUCACAAAUGAUGAUGACAUCACCAAUUAUGAUAAUGACACCGAUGACAUCACCGACGACAACGAAGACGAGGCAGAUGACAUCACCAGUGACUAUGACAUCACCCAUGACAUCACCAACGACAAUGACACCAGUGACAUCACCAAUGAUGACGAUGACGACGCCGAUGAUGUCACCAAUGACAUCACCGAUGAUGAUGCCGAUGACGUCACCGCCGCCGCCGCACCGCCGGGCCAGGCCCCUCCCCCAUCCCGUGCAUGUUUAUUGAACUCAUUCCCGCCCUUUUCUCCCCAAAAUCCGCCCCCGAUCCGAAGGCUCCGCUUGACUCAAGCCCUUCGUUAAUUAAUUAACCCCGAACCCAUUAAUUAACAGCAAACCUCAGGCAGCUCCCGGGGUUUCCCUUCCCGGUGUCCGUCCGGAUUAUCCCGGGAAUUUCCCAGCGCCGUCGCUUGGACUUCCAGAAAAAAAUAUCCUCCGGAUUUUUGGGGUGAAUUCCCGGGAAAAAUCAGGAGAAAAUCACCGGAAUUCCGUUCUCCCGCCCUGCCGGGGCCGCGGGGUUUCACUUUGGGGUGAGAAAAGUCGGAUUUGGGACGGUUUUGGGGGGUUUUUUUUCCGAGAUUUUUCGGUUUUGUCGUUUUUGCUUCCGUUGGGUGGGAAAAGAAGAAAAAAAAAACAGGAAAAAUCCUGAAAAUCCCAAAAAUCCCAGCUUGGAUCCGUGCAAAAAUUCCCCAAAAAAUAAAAAAUAGCUGUAAAGCCCCGGCUCUUCUCCU